GCUAUAAUGCAAGUCGAGCGAGCCGAACUAAUUGAUUACCUUCGGGUAUGAAGUUAGGGAAGCGAGCGGCGGAUGGGUGAGUAACACGUGGAUAACCUACCCUAUAGUCUGGGAUACCACUUGGAAACAGGUGCUAAUACCGGAUAAAAGGAGAGAUCACAUGAUUUCUUUUUGAAAGGCGGCGUAAGCUGUCGCUAAAGGAUGGACCCGCGGUGCAUUAGCUAGUUGGUAAGGUAACGGCUUACCAAGGCAACGAUGCAUAGCCGAGUUGAGAGACUGAUCGGCCACAUUGGGACUGAGACACGGCCCAAACUCCUACGGGAGGCAGCAGUAGGGAAUCUUCCACAAUGGACGCAAGUCUGAUGGAGCAACGCCGCGUGAGUGAAGAAGGUUUUCGGAUCGUAAAGCUCUGUUGUUGGUGAAGAAAGAUAGUGAGAGUAACUGCUCAUUAUUUGCCGGUAAUCAACCAGAAAGUCACGGCUAACUACGUGCCAGCAGCCGCGGUAAUACGUAGGUGGCAAGCGUUGUCCGGAUUUAUUGGGCGUAAAGCGGGCGCAGGCGGAAAGAUAAGUCAGAUGUGAAAGCCCUCGGCUUAACCGAGGAAUAGCAUCGGAAACUGUCUUUCUUGAGUGCAGAAGAGGAGAGUGGAACUCCAUGUGUAGCGGUGGAAUGCGUAGAUAUAUGGAAGAACACCAGUGGCGAAGGCGGCUCUCUGGUCUGUAACUGACGCUGAGGCUCGA
rnacentral:rRNA from 1 species